UGGGGAAUUUUGGACAAUGGGCGAAAGCCUGAUCCAGCAAUGCCGCGUGUGUGAAGAAGGCCUUCGGGUUGUAAAGCACUUUUGUCCGGAAAGAAAUCCUUGGCUCUAAUACAGUCGGGGGAUGACGGUACCGGAAGAAUAAGCACCGGCUAACUACGUGCCAGCAGCCGCGGUAAUACGUAGGGUGCAAGCGUUAAUCGGAAUUACUGGGCGUAAAGCGUGCGCAGGCGGUUUGCUAAGACCGAUGUGAAAUCCCGGGCUCAACCUGGGAACUGCAUUGGUGACUGGCAGGCUAGAGUAUGGCAGAGGGGGGUAGAAUUCCACGUGUAGCAGUGAAAUGCGUAGAGAUGUGGAGGAAUACCGAUGGCGAAGGCAGCCCCCUGGGCCAAUACUGACGCUCAUGCACGAAAGCGUGGGGGAGCAAAACAGGAUUAGAUACCCUGGUAGUCCACGCCCUAAAACGAUGUCAACUAGUUGUUGGGGAUUCAUUCCUUAGUAACGUAGCUAACGCGUGAAGUUGACCGCCUGGGGAGUACGGUCGCAAGAUUAAAACUUAAAUGAAUUGACGGGGUCAUAGCUGUUUCCU
rnacentral:rRNA from 1 species